rnacentral:rRNA from 1 species
GACGAACGCUGGCGGCGUGCUUAACACAUGCAAGUCGAACGCUGAAGCCCAGCUUGCUGGGUGGAUGAGUGGCGAACGGGUGAGUAACACGUGAGUAACCUGCCCCCUUCUUUGGGAUAACGCCCGGAAACGGGUGCUAAUACUGGAUAUUCACUGAUCUUCGCAUGGGGGUUGGUGGAAAGGUUUUUUCUGGUGGGGGAUGGGCUCGCGGCCUAUCAGCUUGUUGGUGGGGUGAUGGCCUACCAAGGCUUUGACGGGUAGCCGGCCUGAGAGGGUGACCGGUCACAUUGGGACUGAGAUACGGCCCAGACUCCUACGGGAGGCAGCAGUGGGGAAUAUUGCACAAUGGGCGAAAGCCUGAUGCAGCGACGCCGCGUGAGGGAUGACGGCCUUCGGGUUGUAAACCUCUUUCGCUCAUGGUCAAGCCGCAGCUUUGGGUUGUGGUGAGGGUAGUGGGGUAAAGAA